rnacentral:rRNA from 1 species
GACGAACGCUGGCGGCGUGCUUAACACAUGCAAGUCGAACGAAGAGCGACGGAAGCUUGCUUCUAUCAAUCUUAGUGGCGAACGGGUGAGUAACGCGUAAUCAACCUGCCCUUCAGAGGGGGACAACAGUUGGAAACGACUGCCAAUACCGCAUACGAUCUAACCUCGGCAUCGAGGAUAGAUGAAAGGUGGCCUCUACAUGUAAGCUAUCACUGAAGGAGGGGAUUGCGUCUGAUUAGCUAGUUGGAGGGGUAACGGCCCACCAAGGCGAUGAUCAGUAGCCGGUCUGAGAGGAUGAACGGCCACAUUGGGACUGAGACACGGCCCAGACUCCUACGGGAGGCAGCAGUGGGGAAUCUUCCGCAAUGGACGAAAGUCUGACGGAGCAACGCCGCGUGAGUGAUGACGGCCUUCGGGUUGUAAAGCUCUGUUAAUCGGGACGAAAGGCCUUCUUGCGAAUAGUGAGAAGGAUUGACGGUACCGGAAUAGAAAGCCACGGCUAACUACGU